UAAACUGACAGAAUUGUGAGGACAAAGGUAACUUUUUAUAAUUCUCGAUAGGUUUACAGCUGCUUUGAUUACCAUAAAGAAGUGUAACAAUUUAGGGGCUGGAGAGAUGGCUUAGUGUUUGAGAACUUGAAUUUUAUUGCUAAACUCCUGUGUUGGCUGUACACAACCACCUGUAAGCCCUGUUCUAGGAGAGCUGAUGUCUUCAUUUAGCCUCUGUGGGCACUUGUACACAUGUUGCAUACACACAUGCAGGUAAAUUAAUUUUUUUUUUUUUUUUUUUGCUAUGUAUACUUUUUGAGACAGGGUCUCAUUAUGUAGUCUUGAUUGGCAUGGAACUCAUGUAUACUAUGCUGGUCUCAGAAAUCUCCUUACGUCUUCUUCUUGGGCACUAAGAUUAAAGUUCUGUGCUACCAUUAGCAGCAAAAAUAGAUUUUAAAAAAUCUAUACUAUGUGAUACAGCAGUGUGCAAUAUUGAGUCUAGCAUCUGCUCAGUUUGGAUAACACUGGAUCUUAUCCUUUGUUUUCUAUUCCUUUUUGAAAGUCUCUUGUGUUCCAGUGUGACUUCUCAUUGGCUGUUUUAUUGAGGAUGGUCUUGAUCUUGUGAUAUUCUUGCCUCUACCUCAGAGUUCAGGGAGUGUAGUGUGCACCACCAUACCCAGUGAGACUGGCUUAGCAUGCCAGGUGUCAUGCGUGCUCAGCAGGCCUGGUCACAACCCAGUCACAUCGCUAUCACAAAUUAAAAUUUCUUUCCUUGUCUUGAGACAGGGGCUUACUGUGUACUAGCUUACAAUCAGACUGGCUUGUAACUUUGGUGAUCCUCUGUAGUAUCUGUCUCAUCUCUCCCCCUCUCCUUCCUCCCUCCCUCCCUCCCUCCCUCCCUCCCUCCCUCCCUCAGUCUUCCCUUCCUCCCCCACACUGACCCCAACACACACACACACACACGCACACAAUUUGUUGCUUGUUUUUGAGAUGUUGUUUGUUAGUAACCCUGGCCUCAAUUGAGGGAAUGAAGGCAUGCACCACCACACCCAUUAGAAAAAAAUUCUUUAACGUUUUUGUGGGUAUAUAUGGCUGUUGCAGUGCACGUGUAGAAGGCAGGGAGCAACUCUGGAGCGAGUUUUCUCCUCCUUUUUUGUGGGUUCCAGGGAUUGCACUAAAGUAGUCAGGCUUAACAGUAAGGGUUUCUAUCCAUUGAACCAUUGUGCUAGCUUUCAAACUUAAUAUUUGAAUAAACAUGUAGUGAAAAAAUUUAAAGUGUACCAGUGAAAUUGCUGUACUGUACUGGGCCUGGUUAGUUAACAUCUUUCCUUACUAUGUCUUCUUUCCACUUAAUAGCACAAAGUAGCAGAUUAUGUACACGUGAAGAUUCUGGGCUCUAGUGUGUUCUAGCCCUUUCAUAUGAUUUACAUUAUCCGUGUGUUCUAGCUCUUUCAUAUAUAUAUGAUUUACAUUAUCCGUGUGUUCUAGCCCUUUUGUAUGAUUUACAUUAUCCGUGUGUUCUAGCCCUUUUGUAUGAAUUACAUUAUCCGUGUGUUCUAGCCCUUUUGUAUGAUUUACGUUAUCCGUGUGUUCUAGCCCUUUUGUAUGACUUGCUUUGCUUUCCUCAUGUUGCCCAGCCUGGCUUAGAACUUACCUCCUGUCCCAGCCUCCCAAGAGAAUGUUGGAAUCUUAGGCAUGUACUACUGGGCCUGCUUAGAUUUAUAAUUGAGAAAAGUAAACACAUCUGUAGUAGAGAGAGUGCUUGCCUAGCAUGCAGAAUGUAGUGAGUUCAGUCCCUGGCAUUCUGUAUAAACAGGUGAAGAUAGUGCACAGCAUGAGUCUACCACUUGGUGGGGCAAAAGAAGGAGGGUCUCUUAAGAGUUCAGUGCCAGCUAGGGCUAUGCUGUCUCAACAAUAAAUUUAACAGUAAUUCAGUAGGCUAAAGACUAAUUUGUUUAGGGGAAGUCAUAUAACCAAGGUACCAUUGUCCUAAAGUUACCUGACUUUAAGUCAUCAACGAGUAACUUGCUUGUAUAGAUUUAUUAUUUUGCUAAGUUUUGUUUGGAUGUUACAAGGAUAGAGUUUAAUUUUCUGUAAUUAUUUCAAAUGAUGCCU
rnacentral:lncRNA from 1 species